UUCAUAAAGCUAUAUUUAUUCAAUUUAAAUGACAACCUUUAUUCUGAGAUUAUAUUCUUCCUAAUUUUAGGGGCUAAAAUAUAUUUUCUUUCACAUAAUGAUGCUAUAGCAGAUAGUUAUUUGUUUUGUUUGUUUUUAUUUUGUGUCCUCAGCUGGCAAAAUUAAAAGCCAGAAACUAAGGCCUCAAUUUUUUUUUAAAUACAAAUCUACUGGUGCUUCAAAAUCAGAGCUUAGGAACCAUAGCCUAGGUAAAGGCCAAUCUUCUUGUUGCAUAUUUCACAGUAUUGAAUUCUUUCUUGGUGAGUUCCCCAUACAAGUUAUGAAGCAGGAUAAAAGUCAGUCUUAUAUUAAGUCAGUGUACAUAUGGCCUUAAUUUCAAGUAAUGAAUUUUUGUU